CUUAUACCCCGAAUACUGUGAUAUAGUAACAAAUAUAUUUUUGGCCGGAUAUCCUAAACCUCAUGUAAUUUCCUAAGAGAUGAGCAACAUUGGUUAUUGUCCUAGCUCUUGGCCGGAUAUCCUAAACCCCAUGUAAUUUCCUAAGAGAUGAGCAACAUUGGUUAUUGUCCAAAUGACCAGAUAGAGCUCUGGAGUGGAGAAGGUGAAAAGACCAUCUUUUGUUAUUGGGAAAAAAACCCUUUAAACCACUGCUGAGUUUAUGUUAAUGAGGUGAUAAUUUUGGAAAGCCCUGAAAUAUGGAGGUAGGUUGCCAGGGGAACCAACCUUCUCUUUGGGAAUUGGUACUUUUAGCCCCGCCCACUGGCCGCCAGGAAGGGCAGUGAGCCUGAAGGUUGAGCGCAGCACUUGUGGCCAAUGAUGCAAUCAACCCUGCUUUACGGGCUUACGUAAGAAGACCGCCCUUGAAGAAGCCUAUGGGUGGUGUUUGGUGAGCGGCUCCCUUGAGUAUGUGGUGGAGGGAGGUUGGCGUCCUGGACACAGGUGGAAGCUUCACACACUCUGCCCUGUACCUCUCUCUGUUCCAUUUGGCUGCCUGUACCUGGGCUGUGUCCUUGAUGAUAAACCACCAGUCCGGCUCCUCUGUCCAUGGGAUUCUCCAGGCAAGAAUACUGGAGUGGGUUGCCAUGCCCUCCUCCAGAGGAUCUUCCCAACCCAGGGAUUGAACCCAGGUCUCCUGCAUUGCAGGCAGAUUCUUUCCCAUAUGAGCUGCAAAGAAGUUCCUCCAACUUUUGAAGUAGAUGCCAAAACAUACCCGAGGACAGAGAGCCCAGGGUCUGCGGGACAGGAAACAAGCAUCUCUGGUUUAUUGAGCAGCGGGAGCAGGAAGAGCCGAGGGACAAGAGGGCAGCAGAAACCAAGAAUCAAACCUGGUCACGAGGCCACAUCAGCCCCGCUUGGCAGACAGGCCCAGUGGCUUUGUGAGUAAAUUUCCAAGCCAUCAAGAAGAAAUACGGUUGUCUCUCCAGCGUUCCAACAGGACCAUUCCAACAUCACUUGAACAGAGGUCAACUCAUCAAUCAUGGACUCCUAAACCUCUGCCUCUAGAGUCUCCUGAAGCCCACAUUCUGUUUGCACAGAACUGCUUCAAGUCUCCAUGUAGUUACCAAGGAGGAGUAAAUCUCAUUGGACACCAAGGUGUUUGAAAAAACAACAAAAAAAACAAGGCUCCUGUGUCCAAAGUCAUGAAAUCCUCCAGGACCAUGGAAGAGUUUCAAACUAUUGCUGCGGAAGACGAAGCGUUGUACAAGGGCUGCAUGACAUGUAUUCUUGGAGAUACAGCUUGCAACUCCGCAUGCGUAAAAGGGAAUCACAGCUGCUUAUCUGAAACGUCUUCAUCAUCCAUUUGGAAAUGAAGGAUUCCGCCUGCUCUACUUCCAUCACCACAGGAAGCCACACCCAGCUGACUUCUCAGUCCAGACUUGUUCUCAAGGUCACCUAUGUAAUUUUUUUUUUCCCCCUGAAGCCUCAGUGUUCUUCGUCUUCUCGGAGAUAAUAGCCCUAAGCCCUUCAGUCAUCAUUUCCUUGUCCUCAAUUUUCUUCCUGGCUUCCUGCAAUUUUAAUCCCAAGCCCCUGCAAUUCCUUGCCUUGGAGGUUUAAGUGGCCCCAUUUACAACCGAUUUUCAGCUAAUAUUUGAUGCAUUCUUUUCAAAUAAACCAAACUGUCCUCCUCUGCAGGCUUGGUGCUUUUGCACCUAAUAAAAUCAGAGGGUUGAUAGUGGGCUUUUAAACUGAUGUGGUUUCUCUUCUGUGACUUUUACAGAAAAAUAGAUCUUUCAAAGUAGGAAAUAGACCUGUUCCUGAUGGGUUAAUUUCAGAAUCUCGUGCUGUCAUUAAUCAAGGGAAAGAAAUCGCUCUUUCAUCUGCCCUUUGCUCCAGUUCUUACAAAGGAGAGGGAAUGAGAGUGGGGUAGAUGAGUAAAGAAAUCAUAGACUCUUUUUCUGGGGGCUCUUUCCUUCUAACCUUCUCUGGGUGCCUUAUCUCCGGCCCCUUCUGUAAGCUGAUCCAGCUCAUGUCGGCCUGACACAUGAACCAUGCAAAGCUGCUUUCUAAAGAGAUUUUAAUUCCUGCUUGACAGGCUAGGCUGAAGCCCAUGAGCGACAAUAGAUGGUGUUUUUUUUUUUUUUUUUUUAAACAAGACUGAAAACCAUGGCGCACCUGGUAUUUCAUUGAACAUCAGACAGACAUAUUAUUUUUUUCUCAGAAAAGGAAAAAAAAAAAAGUUAAAAAUAGCUAAACUUUAAGUAAUAAAAUACAGCUCAGUUUGCCAGGAGUCCUGUAUUAAGAGAGCCACCAUUUUUGGCCUGCCUGAAGACUGUUUUUGUCCCUAAUCUGUUUUAAAUCUUCUGAGGGUUUUAUCGUUUUUUCCGCCUUUCCAUAAAAUUAACUCAAUAUAUUUUUUUUAAUCCUAGUCUGAAAUUUCAUCCUUCAUGAGCCCCCUGCGUGGCUGAGUUUCAAAGUAUCACGUCAUGUAAGAUAAAUGACAUCUUUGGACCCAAGAUAUCUGGGUUCACUGAUCAUGUUUAAUGUCUUGGGUGGGGGUGGAGUUAGAAACUGGGAUCUUCCUUCAGGAUUGUAUGAGGCCAGAUCCAGAAUAAAUGAAAACGAUUUAGGAGUUGCCUACACAUCCUCUUGCAAACGCAAAUUGAGCGGGCCCCCUCCCUUUUUUUUUUUAUGACCGUAGCAAAUUUCAGCUAGCUUUUGUUCCUGGCCGGUGGUGUGCAUUAUGCGCAUAAAUAAGGUCUGCACAUAAUAAGGAUAACUCUGAUCACAGAGAUAGUGGUGGCGGUGCUUUGACGAGGGUGGUGACUGUCAUUUAUUAACUGGGCACCAGGCUUCGUGUUCGCUCUCCUUGAUUUUUUUUCUAUUUAAUUUGCAUACCAGCUCCAGGCGCUGGAUGUUGUCACUUCUGUUUUACCAUUGGGGAACAGGGAGACUAGGCUGGCACAAGUUGGGGUGACCUGCUUGGUGCAGUCCUUGGUGUGAGCUUGGUGCCAGAGCUGAUACCACAUGGCACAAAGUUGGUUUAAUCAGCCUUUUGCACAGAAACUCCUUAUUUACAUCAAGGGAAAAAGAGCCAUUUAGAACUGUAGGGCACAGCUCAAUUUACAUAAUACUUUCCUGAGCAUUAUCUUAAUCCUUCCAGCGUGCUUAGGAGAGAGGUGGUCUUACCAUCUCCAUUGUGUGUUUCUUCUUUGUUGUUCUUUGCUGGCUGAUACUAAUUUUGACGUCUUGGAGGAAUUGCAGACUGCUAAAGUUAAAGGACGCUUGUUGGUUAUGUGAGCUACGUUUAUAGUUCAGCAUUUGAGUAACUGUUUUAUUAAUGUUCCCAUGGAAGAGACUGUUCUUUUCUAGUUAUUUAAAGGAGGCCUGCUGCAUUCGUGGGUAUAAAUUUUGCUCAUGAGGGCUUGCAGCACUAUGUGUUUUUCAGUGGGUAUGUUUUAAAAUUGUAUGAGAACAUUUUCAAAGGUAGCACGGCACACAGAUAGGGACAGUCAGGGACCUAAGGGUCGGCUGGUACUUUGCUAUUAAUUAGCUUUGUGACUCCAGGCCAGGCCUGUGACCUUUCUGGGUCCCACUCUCCCCAUUUCAUUACAAGUGGGUUGGCUGUUCACUGAGGAUUUACUAGAAUUUCUUUGAUCUCUUUGGAAAAAGUUGACAGCAGAUUCUCGAAACCUUCACUACUCAAUAGCUAAUUAUUUUUAUUGUAAGUGUAUGAACAAUUAUGUGUCUUACGCGCAUUGAAAGACAGAUGACAAGCCAUUGGAAAACAGCUUUAAACUUUGUUAUCCCUUGUCACUAGGGAAUGAGGUACAGGGUUGAGAUAUUUCAUUUUAGGGCCUACGUUGUGUUUUUAUUAUAAGGAGAGGACCAAAUCUCGAAGACUUGGUAUUGCCAGCCUUGCUUGCUUGCAGGCCUCCUUCCUUCCUUCCUCAUUUAACUUAGUUAAAAAGCCAUUAGGCAGGCCUGAGCAAGGAGGCCCAGCAAGGCCAAUAAGCAAAUAUAUUGAAGGUAAUGGGAACCAGACUUCUUACUGUCAGAGAAGGAAGCUAUAAAUUGAAAAAAGGGAAAAGCUAGAAGGAGCUCUGUGCUAUGGAUUAUGAGUGAAGUCAUGAAUUUCAAUAUGUAGAAGUGUUAUGUGUAUGACGUUUAAUUUUAAAUAUAGAAACAAAAAUUAAUAUUAAAGUAUGUGUACAUAUAUAUACACACAUAUAUGUAUAUAUAUGUACAUGUAUGUGCAUAAGUAUACAACAUACCCAUUUUCCUAACUCAGCUCACUAAGAGGGCCAGGAUGCAGUGAUAGCCCUGUGAAGAUGAACACAUUUAUUGUUCAGAUCCUAGUUUCUAAAUAUCAGUCUUUGCUCAAAGAAACCACAGGACUUCGGAAAAAAAAAUCUUGUUCUAGGGCUAGGACAGGGAAGACCCAAAAUGAGUUUUGAAUAUCUUCUCGUGCCAGGAAAGACAGAUGUUCUCAGAGAAUAUUGGAAAGGUGGCAGAAGAACACAGCAGCCUGCUUGAAGGCAUUCCCACUAAUCAAACCUGAGACAAUUUGGACAUGAAAAUAGUAUUACAGAUUACAUCUGACUAAACAAACCAAGAACGUAUGGGGCCAUGUUGAUGUCAGUAAAUGCAUGAAUAAAUGAGAAGAGAGAGUUCUCCUUAAAAAUAGAAUGUUAUUU
ensembl:lncRNA